CCCUUUGGUCCAAAUAUCAACAGAAUCUAGAAUAAGUUUUAGACUUCUACCCAAUACUUCCUCAUCUUCGUAAGACUACCCGCUGAACUUAAGCAUAUCAAUAAGCGGAGGAAAAGAAACCAACAGGGAUUGCCUCAGUAACGGCGAGUGAAGCGGCAAAAGCUCAAAUUUGAAAUCCCCCGGGAAUUGUAAUUUGAAGGUGGCCUCAGUUAGUCCAAACAUUCUUAAGUCCAUUGGAAAAUGGCGCCAUGGAGGGUGAUAGCCCCGUAAAGAUGUCGUUUGUUCUAUUUUCUCUGGCCACCAAAGAGUCGAGUUGUUUGGGAAUGCAGCUCUAAGUGGGUGGUAAAUUCCAUCUAAAGCUAAAUAUUGGCGAGAGACCGAUAGCGAACAAGUACAGUGAUGGAAAGAUGAAAAGCACUUUGAAAAGAGAGUGAAAAAGUACGUGAAAUUGUUGAAAGGGAAGGGCUUGCAAGCAGACACAACCUCGUGUUGGGCCAGCAUCGGGGCGAGAGGAAGUAAAAACGAUUUGGAAAUGUAA
rnacentral:rRNA from 1 species